rnacentral:rRNA from 1 species
AACGUAGGUGGCGAGCGUUAUCCGGAUUUACUGGGCGUAAAGGGUGUGCAGGCGGGUCGUCAAGUGGUGUAUGAAAUCGCCCGGCUCAACCGGGUGGGGUUAUGCCAGACUGGCGACCUAGAGACCGAGAGAGGGGCGUGGAAUUCCGGGUGUAGUGGUGAAAUGCGUAGAGAUCCGGAGGAACCCCAGAGGCGAAGGCGGCGCCCUAGCUCGGUUCUGACGCUCAGACACGAAAGCAUGGGGAGCGAACGGG